CCUGCCUGAGAUCUUAACAUUCUACUGUGUGGCUGGAACAGCAGACAACCGUACUGUCGUGUGGCUGAGGGCCUGGGCUGCCAAUCCCUGGCUGCUGGGAGGUCCCACUGGGUCCAAGAUUCCUUCAGAAAGGUCCCGGCUGGCUUCCCCAGCCAGAGCCCUCUGGCCUCUUCCUGCCAGGAUGGGGUUGGUGAAUGUUCAUCAGAGCAGAUGACACUGUCCUCUGAGGCACAGGAGGAGAAGGCACUGCCUGACACCUCACAGCAUGGUUCUGGGGAUCUGGGACCAGAAACGGACCACAACUACCAGAGGACUGGGAAGUGAGGAUCCACCAUGACAGUGUCACCAACCGGCAGAAGCCACCAUUUGAGGGUGGGCAUGGAACCGUGUCUAGUGAGUGGCAGAUGCUGUUUCCCAGACUGGGACCCCGGAGAGAAAGCUGGACGCUCACAUUGCCAUCCGUCCACCCGCAGUACCUCAUAGAUCCUGGCCCUACUUCCUUCACGGUUUCUCUGGAAACCCUGAACAACAGCCCGACAAAGCAGAACGGAUUCUGGAAUCUUAGACAGUCUUUGGAGCUACGCAUGGCUUCCACGACUGAGAAACUGCUUCCAAAAUGCCCGACUGCCUUCAGAAUCUUUGAACAGCCCCCAAGGCGUGGGCUGAACUUGAGCAUGGAGGAGGACGGGAGCCAAGGAGGGCUCAGGCCAGCCUCCCUGGAGACUGCCUCCCCGCAUGCAUGUGCUGUGCGCCCCGCUGGGGCCCAGCAGUCAGCCACACUUUGGGAGAGCCAUGUGAAGACCGAGAAUGGGCCAAGACUCUGAGUCAGUCCCAGAGGGCACAGUGAGGUCUCGCUUGUGACCGCAACCUCGGAAAAAAAUCACUUCUGUUCUCUG